rnacentral:rRNA from 1 species
UACCAGCACCCCGAGUGGUCGGGACGUUUAUUGGGCCUAAAGCAUCCGUAGCCGGUUCUACAAGUCUUCCGUUAAAUCCAACUGCUUAACAGGUGGGCUGCGGAAGAUACUAUAGAGCUAGGAGGCGGGAGAGGCAAAGCGGUACUCGAUGGGUAGGGGGUAAAAAUCCGUUGAUCCAUUGAAGACCACCAGUGGCGAAGGCGGCUUGCCAGAACGCGCUCGACGGUGAGGGAUGAAAAGCUGGGGGGGAGCAAACCGG